rnacentral:rRNA from 1 species
CGGACGGGUGAGUAACACGUGGAUAACCUACCUAUAAGACUGGGAUAACUUCGGGAAACCGGAGCUAAUACCGGAUAAUAUAUUGAACCGCAUGGUUCAAUAGUGAAAGACGGUUUGCUGUCACUUAUAGAUGGAUCCGCGCCGCAUUAGCUAGUUGGUAAGGUAACGGCUUACCAAGGCAACGAUGCGUAGCCGACCUGAGAGGGUGAUCGGCCACACUGGAACUGAGACACGGUCCAGACUCCUACGGGAGGCAGCAGAG